rnacentral:rRNA from 1 species
UACAGAGGUGGCAAGCGUUGUUCGGAAUUACUGGGCGUAAAGGGCGAGUAGGCGGCCUUCUAAGUCAGACGUGAAAUCCCCCGGCUUAACCUGGGAACUGCGUCUGAUACUGGGAGGCUAGAGUAUGGGAGAGGGAUGUGGAAUUCCAGGUGUAGCGGUGAAAUGCGUAGAUAUCUGGAGGAACGCCGGUGGCGAAGGCGGCAUCCUGGACCAUUACUGACGCUGAUCCGCGAAAGCUAGGGGAGCAAACGGG